CCGGUUGAUCCUGCCAGAGGCCACCGCUAUUGGAGUCCGCUUAAGACAUGCGAGUCGAGAGGGGUCAUGCCCUCGGCGCACUGCUCAGUAACACGCGGAUAAUCUGCCCUAAGGCGGGGAAUAAUCUCGGGAAACUGAGGAUAAUACCCCAUAGUCCACGGAGGCUGGAACGCAUCGUGGAUGAAAGAUUUAUCGCCUUAGGAUGAGUCUGCGGCCUAUCAGGUUGUAGUGGGUGUAACGGACCCCCUAGCCUUCGACGGGUACGGGCUUUGAGAGAAGUUGCCCGGAGAUGGGUUCUGAGACACGAACCCAGGCCCUACGGGGCGCAGCAGUUACGAAAACUUGGCAAUGCGGGAAACCGCGACCAGGGGACUCCAAGUGCUAAUACUUUGUAUUAGCUGUUCUUUUGUCUAAAAAACAAGAGAAGUAAGGGCUGGGUAAGACGGGUGUCAGCCGCCGCGGUAAUACCAGCACCCCGAGUGGUCGGGACGAUUAUUGGGCCUAAAGCAUCCGUAGCCGGCCUUACAAGUCCUCCGUUAAAUCCAGCUGCUUAACAGAUGGGCUGCGGAGGAUACUAUAAGACUAGGAGGCAGGAGAGGCAAGCGGUACUCAGUGGGUAGGGGUAAAAUCCGUUGAUCCAUUGAAGACCACCAGUGGCGAAGGCGGCUUGCCAGAAUGCGCUCGACGGUGAGGGAUGAAAGCUGGGGGAGCAAACCGGAUUAGAUACCCGGGUAGUCCCAGCUGUAAACGAUGCAGACUCGGUGAUGGACUAGCUUUAUGCUGGUCCAGUGCCGCAGGGAAGCCGUUAAGUCUGCCGCCUGGGUAGUACGGUCGCAAGACUGAAACUUAAAGGAAUUGGCGGGGGAGCACCACAAGGGGUGAAGCCUGCGGUUCAAUUGGAGUCAACGCCGGA
rnacentral:rRNA from 1 species